rnacentral:rRNA from 1 species
GCGUGAGUGAUGAAGGCCUUAGGGUUGUAAAGCUCUUUUACCCGGGAAGAUAAUGACGGUACCGGGAGAAUAAGCUCCGGCUAACUUCGUGCCAGCAGCCGCGGUAAUACGAAGGGGGCUAGCGUUGUUCGGAAUUACUGGGCGUAAAGCGUGCGCAGGCGGCCUUUCAAGUCAGGGGUGAAAGCCCAGAGCUCAACUCUGGAAUUGCCUUUGAAACUGUUUGGCUUGAGUGCGGGAGAGGUGAGUGGAAUUCCCAGUGUAGAGGUGAAAUUCGU